CUCAAAAGAGGCAUAAUCAAAAUCUCAAGCCAAAAUGUAUAUCCUCUACUGAAUAAGUCAGCAGAGACAAUUUUACUCUCAAGUCCACAAAUCUUUUGGUCUUCUCUUGACUACAGUUUUUUUUCAUCAGGAAGAAUGACCUUUCUUUGUUCCAACAAAGGAUUUUCAACUGAAUUUUAAAGAAAAGGCAGAAACUUUACAGUGGGAUGAGAAACAGGAUAAGCUUAGGGAAAUUAGUUAAAGCUAGAAAAGUAAUAAACCUGUAACAUUGUGCUUUUAGAGGAUUGCACACAAUAGGAACAGUUUGUGUACAACUUACACUUCAAAGGGCAAGGAUUAGAACAACAGGUUUGUGUCAAGAUAGACUCAAGAGGAAGAAGCUUAGUCAUAUAAUAUGAAGGACCAUCCAGAUACUGUGAAAAAGCAGAAGUUUAUUACUGACAUGCCAGAUGCGUGACUGAAUGCAGAAAACUCAGGGACAGGGCACAUCUUACUGUAAACUAAAUUAUGUGCUUUUUGAAAGUAAAUAAACAUAUUAUAAAAUUGAUAGUUCCAGCUUUAGCAUCAGAGCACAAAAAUGCACAAUUAAUCAAGCACUGGACGGAACAAAAUCCCACAGUUAUUACAAAAGAGUAAAGGUCUCUCAAUGACAGUGCCAGUUAUGGACACUAGAGGUUACCAGCUCAUACCCAAGGGGAAUCUUUUUUGUUUUGAAGCUGUUGGUUUUGAAGCAAAGCAGCAUUCUUUAUGAAUGACAGCAGCUGGGUUCAGCUUCUUAUUGCCUUUGGCUCACUGUGACAUACAGAACAAGUCCAUAAACUUCUCUGUGCCCAUGUCUCUCAAAUGACAAAAGUAACUUCUAUCUUUAUAAUCUCAGACUGUAUUAACAAUUCUUUGGCUGUCAUUUACUAUCAGUGUCAGACCUGACAUAGUGAAAUACCAAUUUUGUUGAUCUUCCUACUGUACUAUGGUAUCACCAACAAUAAGGAUAGUGAUCGUGGUAUACAGGGAUCUAAUCACUCCCCAGCUCUGCAGUUCUUUCCUUAACAAAACAAAAUGCAACAAAACAAGUGAACAAAAUGAUUGUUUAAUUUAAUUUCUUUUGCCUUUAGAGUAGCUGACGUAGUAUUAACAACCAUGAGUAGCUCAGUCAUGAGUAACUCAGUGGUGACCGCAAGUGAUUAAAAAGAAGACUGUAACAGCUUUUCUAGCUGGUAACACUCCAGAAAUAUCUGUCUCUACAAGAGGACUAAAAUAAGUUAGCCGAUCAAACAUUCUGGUAGAGACUAGUAAUAGCAUUUUGUUAAUGAGAAGACUGACUAAUCAAUAGUGUUAACAGAUUGAAUGACCUUCAACCACCUCUUGGGAGCGAUUUCCUUCAUUGUUUCUAUCACAUCUAUUGUUAUAUCAUACAGUGUUGUGCAUUAUUUAAUUAAGUAUUAAAUUAUAGGUUUCUACCCAAAGCUACGAUUAAUCAUAGUACCAAGGAAUGACACAUGGUGAAGCAAAUGGAAGAGUACAGAGAGAAACAGAGGACCAGGAGGAAAGGUCAUGGGCAGAAAGCAUGAAAGGAAGUGCUCCAUUCUUUAAAACAGCAACCACCUGCAGAGGUUCAGCUAAGAACAAGACCUCCACCCUUGCGUAGUAGCAGCAGAAGAAAGAGAAGAAGAAAAGGAGCAGAAAAAAGAGCUACUUUUUUAAUGAUUCUGGGUCAGAGGGAAGAGGCUUAAUGACAGAACAUAAAUUCAUAGUAACAGAUGUAUUUGCUUAAUUCAAGAGUUCCGCUAGCCAGUUUAGUGACCAGAGAUCUCUAGGGAAGAGCUUAAGAAUGGGACAUGCACAGUGACAUUUUCCCACUACACUGUCCAGGUGAUCAGCAGACUUUGAGACAAAUCUCCAGCCUACCUACAAACUCCUCUGUAGCGAUUUUAAUGAUUGUACUCGAAAAAAAUAAAACUUUCAAUACACACCUGUUUUUCAAGGGAUAGAAACUGUAAGAUUUUAUCUGAAUUUCCAAAGCAAAUGUGCAUGGUGGAAACUAGAAUGGGAAUGUAAAUCCAGCAGCACCCAACAUGGUUUUCUUGAGGAGCCAAAGUGCCCAGAAUGACCACUUGUUUUGCUACAGAACCAUGCAGGAAACAAAAUGCUUGUCUGCCUCCCUGUGUGAAUAUUGGUGCCUUAAUAACACUGGAGGAGAAAGAGGUAGAGAUGUUUUUCAGGGGCAAACGUUAUAGAGGAAAGUAUCCAGGCAAAGCAAUAGCAAAGAGAGGACUCGAAUUCAGAAGGAGAUAGGAGAACAUUGGACAUGAAAUCCAGAAGGACAUUUUUUGGAUGGAACUGUGUUUUUGCCACCCUUGUAACUGGAUUUUUUAACUCAAAUUUCUUUAAUGUUGAUCCCCAAAAGGUGCUCCCUGAGCUUACAAGCCGGCUGCACCUGUCCACCUGGCACGGCUCCCAUGUGCAACAUGGACAGUGCAGACUGGAACUCGUUCCCAGAGCACUGACAAAAACCAACUGCUGUAUCUACUGCUCUGUAUCAGUUUCUUCACCGUAUGAAACAUGAGACCUUUUGAUGUAAAGUUAAGGGAGCCUUUGGUGUCUUAGAAGAUUAAUCUAACAGAAAACAUAUGAGUGAGAUGUGUGAUGCUCAUUGGUUAAUGUGCUGAUCCUUCUCUCAUGAGAGAUGUAGAAAGCCUUCUUGAUACUCAGAAGAGUCAAGUGCAAAUCCCAUACUGAUAAGAAAUGUCCCAAGAGAAUGCAGAUAAUAAAACCUCACUUCCUUGAUGUGUUGUCCUAGAAUCUUUCUUCUCAGAGCUUUGGCACAGUUUCAUGUGAAAUUCAAAAAGCAUGAUGUCUUUGUAGAAAAUAGGAGACCAUCUAUAAAUCCCUCCAAAAACACCCUUUGUGUUUAGUCCUGUGUGACCAGGACACUGCAGCUACUACAGUAGGAGCUACUUAAAGAAAAUACAAGGACUUUUUUACUUAUCUGAACUAGUGCUUAGAAAGGGAAGAGUGGAAAGCAGAGAAGCACUGAUUUAUCUUCCAGCCAUUACUUGACACUUGAAGAUGUACGUGAUGUAGUGCCAUACAAAGGCUUGGAGGCAACUUAAAGCAGUGUAAGAUAAGCCUUGCUGUUUACCAUGUGAUGUGCCAGCUUUUCUUGGACCACAGGAUGGGAACUUCAGGUCUAGCACCUUACAGUGGCUCCUUGCAGUUAAUUUCCCAGGACCUAAGUAUGAAACAACUUGGGGGUCCAAGUCUACUUUCUGGAACAGGUAUCUUCAUCUUCAUUGUUCAGGGUACUCAGGAGCAAGACAUUCUA
ensembl:lncRNA